GUGGAGGGGAUGAUAGAGCUGUGUGUAGGUGGAGAGGAUGCUGGAGUUGUGUGUAGGUGGAGGGGAUGAUAGAGUUGUGUGUAGGUGGAGGGGAUGAUAGAGUUGUGUGUAGGUGGAGGGGAUGCUGGAGUUGUGUGUAGGUAGAGGGGAUGAUAGAGUUGUGUGUAGGUGGAGGGGAUGCUGGAGUUGUGUGUAGAUGGAGGGGAUGAUAGAGCUGUGGGUAGGUCGAGGGGAUGAUAGAGCUGUGUGUAGGUGGAGGGGAUGCUGGAGUUGUGUGUAGAUGGAGGGGAUGAUAGAGCUGUGUGUAGGUGGAGGGGACGAUAGAGCUGUGUGUAGGUGGAGGGGAUGAUAGAGUUGUGGGUAGGUGGAGGGGAUGCUGGAGUUGUGGGUAGGUGGAGGGGAUGAUAGAGCUGUGGGUAGGUGGAGGGGAUGAUAGAGCUGUGCGUAG
rnacentral:lncRNA from 1 species